ACGGUUUGUCUUUGAUUCCUUCCCGUAGAUCGGUUUAGAUUUUGAUUUACUGAUGGAGUAGUUUUCGUAUCGUCGACGUCGUGGAUCUGAUACUUGAUCCCAUUUGUUUUAAGUUUAGUAGGUGUGACCUAGAUUCGUUGUUGGAUUUCAUUUUGUUGAUCGUUGGUGUGUUUGUAAGAUAUGCUUUUGAGCUUUGGGUUUUCAAAAUUUUCUACUCUAAUUGUACAAGGGGAUAGAUUCUCAACUGCCACCACUAGCGUGUAGGUUCAUGUAAAAAUGAUUACUUUUUAUACUUAUUAAUGGUAUUGUUGCUUCUUCCUGCAAGUAAAGUCUUCACCUUUACUCUUUAUUCAUUUGCCUACUAGCUUGUCCUUUUCACUCAAUCACCUCAAGAUAAUGUUUAAAUUAACGAAUGAGAAAGCUAGUUUCUUUAGAUGAAUCAUGUUAGUUUCCUUUGAGAUGGGUUUUUUUAUUGGUGGCUUCUCUUAGUAGUGUCUGGAGGAGGCUUUUACACAGAGGAGUAAUAUUCAUACUGAGAGAGGAGGAUAGAGAAAUGGCUGAUGGGAUAUCUAGCUUUUGGGGUCCCGUGACCUCUACUAUAGAGUGUUGUGAGAAGAACUACGCCUACUCAUCCUACAUUGCUGAGUUCUACAACACCAUCUCCGGUCUCCCUGGUAUCCUACUCGCUCUCAUUGGUCUCGUCAAUGCCUUAAGGCAACGGUUUGAGAAGAGGUUUAGCAUCCUUCACAUCUCCAACAUGAUCCUUGCUAUCGGCAGCAUGCUCUACCAUGCCACUUUGCAGCACGUGUAAGUAUAUGUAGCUGUUUGAUUGAUUUUAAGUUUGGUUAAUGAUGAUUCUAUGUCUCUUGUUCGGAACAGGCAACAACAGAGCGAUGAGACCCCAAUGGUGUGGGAGAUACUUCUUUACAUGUACAUCCUCUACUCACCAGACUGGCAUUACAGAAGCACCAUGCCCACUUUCCUCUUCCUCUACGGUGCCGCCUUUGCUGCAGUCCACGCUUACCUCAGGUUUGGGAUCGCUUUCAAGGUCCACUACGUGAUCCUCUGCCUUCUCUGCAUCCCUCGGAUGUACAAGUACUACAUUCACACCGAGGACGCCGCGGCUAAAAGGAUUGCGAAAUGGUACGUUGCCACGAUCCUGGUGGGGAGCGUGUGCUGGUUCUGCGACCGUGUGUUCUGCAAGAGGAUAUCUCAGUGGCCUGUGAACCCUCAGGGACAUGCUCUGUGGCAUGUCUGCAUGGGUUUCAACUCUUACUUCGCCAACACGUUCUUGAUGUUCUGUCGAGCUCAGCAACGUGGAUGGAAUCCGAAGGUUAAGUACUUUCUGGGAGUUCUUCCUUAUGUCAAGAUCGAGAAGCCGAAAGCACAAUGAGAAAGAUUCGGGGGAAAAAGAGCCCAGAAGAAGAAGAUCAUAAAUAUAGUUUUUGUUCAUCGGAUUUAUCAGAAAUUUCGACUUUUUUAUUAUAUAUUAUUUUGGAAGUGAAACUCUCUAGAUACAGAGUCUAGAUUCUUUGUUUCUUGUAUUAGUUUUUAUCGGGGAUGAUGAUGAUCUUAAGAAGAAUUGAUUUUUUUAAGAUUUGACAUUAAGAAUCUCUGUUUUAAUGGAACUGGUGUAAAAGCCUCAGAUGUGUGGUCAUUAUCGUUGUAAUCUUUAGGCCAAAAAUAUUUAAACAAUCCAUCUAUUGUCACAUCCAAGGACUGUAAUGGGAUAAAUGAUUUCGGUGAGCAAGCACUAUACAGUAGUGAGGAUUAUUCAGUUUAAAAGAAACAAAGUUGUUAAUGCUCAACAGUUACGAAAUUAAGUUUAAAGAUGAACAGCAGUUACGUAGUUGUGUUAGAUGGCCGCAUAUAGCGUACAUCUUUGUCAGUAGCCUUGUUUUCGGAUGUACAGGAGAUCCACGCAGAGCUCGAAAAAAUAUACCGAAGAGUAACAAAUGAGGCAGAGCUUGUGUCAACAUCAUACAUAGGUUAACAUUUACAAAUUACAAAAAAAGGAGAAACCCGAGUAUUUCAAGUGUUUUUCGAGCUUGAAAAUGUAGUUGCGAAUCUUGAGUUUGUGUUUUCAGGUGGAUGUGAAGGCGGAUACUAGUAAACGGCUUUUAGCAACUUAAUCAAAUCCUAAUCAUCUAUGAGGUCUUUGUACUAAUUCGCUUAAUCUAUCUAGUUAUUGUAUAAAACCGAUCCACUUAGCUUAUCCAGCCAGAACAAGGAGUUUUUCUUUAAUGCAGUCAUGGGCCAAUCGAAGAAGGCCCAGUUAUUUCGUGAAUUUUAGAAGCUAGCCUAAGCUACAAAGAACCAUUAAGACCAAGAAAAUGUUAAGAGUUCGUCAAACAAUAUUUUGGGAUUUAGAGAGUUUGAUGAGCAUGUGCGCUCGAGAUACACACAAUUGUUGACGAUGUUCCUAAUUAACGUGCCUAAAAAUAGGAACAUGUGAGCUCUUUUGAAGGACAUUAGAUGGAGAGAUCAUUUUGUAAUCUUUUGUUUUGUUAUUUAUAUAAGUUCAGUUCGUCAAUUAAAUCUCAGUAAAGUUAUAUCCAUAGAUAAUAAUGCUUUCCUAAAUUCAUACUGCCAGUUAUAACAUUUUAAUUGUGGUUUUUAAUUCUCCAAAAUAAGUUUUUGAAAUGUCUAAUAAUAAUGUUAUUCAAUCGUAAGUUUAAAUUCAUUUUUUUUAGAUUUUAUAAAACUUUUAGAAUCAAAAUUUUGGUUUAAAAUUUUAAAAUACACGUGGAUUCUAAAUUUUACUUUAUCAACGAUUCCAAAUCUUACUUAAUUCUUUAAAAAAAUAAUUUACUUAUAAUCUUUUAUUGAAAUUCAUUUACAAUAUUUACUAUCCCAAUACUUUAAAAUUAUUUACUCUUGAAUAAUCUGGAUUUUUAGAAGAUAUAAAACUUUAAUUGAAUAAUAAAAAAAAAAUUAAGUGAAAAAAUCCAAUAACAAUAAAUUUUGAAGUAUUAUUUAGAUUUAUUAGUUAAAUAAUUUUUUUUUACAAUGUUAAAACAAGGAAAAACAAAGUUUGACUAGUAAUAUUUGUAGUUAGUUAAACUAAAUGAUUAAUUGUAGAACCACCAUUGUCCAAUAUUCAAUAUUUUAAGAUCGAUUCCUAGAUGGUACAAUUUUGUGUAAUAAAUUUUAGGGUGCUGCAUAUAUAGCCGUUCAUUGUAGUUGUAUUACAUGCAAAGAGUUUGUUCAUCGUAGAUAUUGUAUAUGCAUAUGAUCGUAAUAAAAAUUGGAUUAUGAUUUUGAAAGUUGAGUGAGUUGAACUGUGAAAAUAUUGUUUAGAAAAUUAUUCAUUAGUAUCGCAUAUGUUACAAUGUAAUAGAUGAUCAUAAUAUAAUAAAGAGAUAUAAAUAUGAUAAUGUAUUUGAGAUUUGACUAAGGUUAAAAAAUGAUUGGACGAAAAAGGGUUAGAUGGCGAAAUCUAAGAGAAGUGUAAUGAAUGGAGGAGUCCUCGUUUGUAAAUUUGUAAUCAACGUUAAGUAAGAAAAGGAAAGAAUAGUAGGGACCAGAAAUGUAAAUUAAUACAAAUUUAUCUAACCAUCAUCACAUCAUGUCGACGACGAUACGCGCCGCUCUUAGUUUUGUUAAAUUGUUAAUCUAUGUUUAUUACCUUAAAAUCGAAAUUCCGGCAGAUAAAAAGACGACAAUGCCCCUGAAAAGAGAGAGAGAAGGCGAAGAAGAAACAAAACGAUCAGGGAGGAGGCAGAGAAAGAGAUAGAGAGAAAGGUCAUCUGAUUCCUUCGAUCUGCUAAGAAGAAAGGAAGGAAGGAAGGAGAUCGAUCUUCUUUGUCUGCAUCAUCGCCCAGGAGUAAACGGUUUGUCUUUGAUUCCUUCCCGUAGAUCGGUUUAGAUUUUGAUUUACUGAUGGAGUAGUUUUCGUAUCGUCGACGUCGUGGAUCUGAUACUUGAUCCCAUUUGUUUUAAGUUUAGUAGGUGUGACCUAGAUUCGUUGUUGGAUUUCAUUUUGUUGAUCGUUGGUGUGUUUGUAAGAUAUGCUUUUGAGCUUUGGGUUUUCAAAAUUUUCUACUCUAAUUGUACAAGGGGAUAGAUUCUCAACUGCCACCACUAGCGUGUAGGUUCAUGUAAAAAUGAUUACUUUUUAUACUUAUUAAUGGUAUUGUUGCUUCUUCCUGCAAGUAAAGUCUUCACCUUUACUCUUUAUUCAUUUGCCUACUAGCUUGUCCUUUUCACUCAAUCACCUCAAGAUAAUGUUUAAAUUAACGAAUGAGAAAGCUAGUUUCUUUAGAUGAAUCAUGUUAGUUUCCUUUGAGAUGGGUUUUUUUAUUGGUGGCUUCUCUUAGUAGUGUCUGGAGGAGGCUUUUACACAGAGGAGUAAUAUUCAUACUGAGAGAGGAGGAUAGAGAAAUGGCUGAUGGGAUAUCUAGCUUUUGGGGUCCCGUGACCUCUACUAUAGAGUGUUGUGAGAAGAACUACGCCUACUCAUCCUACAUUGCUGAGUUCUACAACACCAUCUCCGGUCUCCCUGGUAUCCUACUCGCUCUCAUUGGUCUCGUCAAUGCCUUAAGGCAACGGUUUGAGAAGAGGUUUAGCAUCCUUCACAUCUCCAACAUGAUCCUUGCUAUCGGCAGCAUGCUCUACCAUGCCACUUUGCAGCACGUGUAAGUAUAUGUAGCUGUUUGAUUGAUUUUAAGUUUGGUUAAUGAUGAUUCUAUG
rnacentral:lncRNA from 1 species